ensembl:lncRNA
UACCUGUGCAGUGCCGCCACACUGUGCAGUUUUUUUCUCACAGAGAUAUGCUCUCUUCAAUGUUAAGAAAGAAAAAUAAUUUUUGAGUAUUUCAAUAUUUAAAAAAAAGAAGAAGAAAUUAGUGUUAAAUAUUUCAAUAGUACAAUGGGCUGUAGAACUCGAGACGUUUUCUGUAUCGACUCGACUUGCCUUGGAUCUGUUGACAUUUGUACUCAGACUUGGGCAUUGGUCUUGCUCAAUAUGGUCUUAGUCUUGAUUGAGAGUAAAAAUAAUUUGCCUUUUCUUUUUGCAUACACAAAUUUAGGCAAGUAGUAACUCCUUGUAGAAAACCAGCCUGAUCAUCAUAACACUCAUAUGAAGCCAAAUAGCUGAAGGAAAGGCCUGUGGAAAUUAAGGAUUUGAAUUGUCCUUGACCCCCACUUGGUCUUGACUCAAACUCCUUAUCUUGGCCUUCAAAAUGGCAGUCUUGAUUAUAGCUCUAUACUGUAUUUUAGUAGUCAUCAAUCUAGCUUCAGUAAACAUUAUCAGAUUUAUAAACACUCCAGUCUGCCAGGGGGCAGUGGAGAUAGUUACAGGUCAUAUGUGCUAUUAGUUAUGCAUAAAAAAGCCAUUAUUUCAUUUUUGUCUGGCAAACUGUAUAAAAAAUUAAGCAUGAUGCAAACCUAUAUGAAUAAAUCAGGAAUAUAAUAGCAACUAAGCUAAGCAUGGAAUAGUCCUCAAACAUCCAGCAAUACUCCAUACUGUCCAUAACCUGUUCCACAUUUUCACCAAGUAAAAUUGUGACUUUCUAUAAAUUUAUACAAAAUAUCUUUCAUCUUUGUGCUCAGACAAGAGACUUCUGUUCAUUUCUUAAAGGUCAGUUAUGAAUUUAUACAUGAAUGAUUUACAUUAAUAUCAUCUUUAAUAUUUAACGUACCUUAAAGGGAGGUAAAUUAUUUUAGUUGGAGAUUGGUGCAACAAUUAGACAUAACUUUUAAUAAUAAUUCAUUUGUCGGUUUAUCUCCCAGGACGGAGAUAUAAUCUCAGUCAUGUUCAAGUGAGUAGUGAACUUAUACAGAUGUGUGACUAACGCAGUAAAGCACCAAUCAGUCUGUUUUUCAGAUCGCAAAAUGGCAAAACAGGCAACUAAUACGACAAAAAAAGACAUUUAUUGUGAUUACAGGGAAAAAAAAUCUUUUAAAUUUUGUGUAUAUGGUAUGACAUUUCCUCUACAGAAAAGAUUUUGGUCAAACAGUAAUAAAUAAAUAAAUAACUCUCAAAUAUUUAUAUUAUUAUAAUACAUUUCAGUUAAAUAAAAACGAGCUAAUGAUCUAGCUAAUUUUAGGUCAUGUUUUAGCAAAAAUAUUUCAGGUAAUGUUCUAGCAGGAAUGUUUUAGGUAAUGUUCUAGCGGGACAUAAUUUUAGGUAAUGUUCUAGCAGGAAUGUUUUAGGUAAUGUUCUAGCAGGAAUGUUUUAGGUAAUGUUCCAGCAGGAAUAUUUUAAUUAAUGUUCUAGCAAGAAUAUUUUUAAGUAAUGUUCUAGCAAGAAUAUUUCAAGUAAUGUUCUAGCAAGAAUAUUUUAGGUAAUGUUCUAGCAGGAAACUUCAGGUAAUGUUCUAGCAGGAAACUUUAGGAAUUUUUUAAGGCAUUGUAGCAGACACCCUUGUCUGCCAUGGGCGACUUACCAUUAUCUCAUUUAUACAACUGAGCAGUUGAGGGUUAAGGGCCUAGUUCAAGGGCCCAGUAGUGGCAGCUUGGCAAUCUGGAAUUUGAACUCAAACCUUCUGAUCAGUAGUCCAUCAUCAUAACCACUGAGCUACUACUACCCUGAUUCUGAUAUUCAUGAAAUCAGAAAAUUGCCAAGAGAGAAAUGUUAAUUGAUUCUAUUUGAUAGUUUUUUAAUGUUGAAAUGUUUGAUUUAGUGUGUAGAUGCUCUUUCCUCAUUUGAUAACCAUGUCACACAUUAUUCAAAACAUCAUAACAUGGGUGUUGUUAUGAUGUUUUAAAUAAACAUCAUACUCGCUACCCGAUCAGUAGCGUGCAACUUCAGUAAUGCAUUUCUCAGGAACAACCCAUGUGCAUGCCAUGAUUAUCUGAUCUGACUGUAGUAUUUUCACUUUUCAUUCAUUUUCAUUCAUGCCCAACAAUUCACUCGAAUUGUUUACUGGAACUACAGCUAUGUAUGGGGCAUGAAUAGCAGACCAAUUAAAAUCAACUCAUGUCAAAAGGGAUCCAUCAUUGCAAAAUACAGAUCACUGCAACACAUCAGAAAAAAGCACUAUCAUCCUGAAAACAUCUCAAAUAGUUUUAGAGGCGGAUUCAGAUUCAUUUUACUUACAGCGUCAAAUAUAAACAUACCAUCAAACAUAAAAACCCAUAUCAGUGAUAUUAGUAAUAAUAAUUAACACUUGCAUUAAUUUGGGUUUAUUUCAGUGUUAACUAAAUAAUAAAUGAUCACAUU